GAUUGUGUCUGACAAGUCUGGGCAUGUGAAUACAACACAAAUUGUAUUUGAAGGAAUCUCUUUUGGAGUUACAAAGUUGUCAUAUGAUUGGUUAAGGCGCUCGUUGUAUUGGGCGGAUACCUCUUAUCAGACGAUAUUUAAACUGGACAUUUCUCGCGUCUGCUUAGCCUGCUCACCUCACAUCUCACACCAACGAAGGGAUGCCUGGACAUCAGUACUACAAGGUCAGAGUCGAGGUAUCAUAACGCCUUUGAUCACUGAAGAUUUGGUACAGCCAUGUUCAGUGGUUGUAGAUCCUAUAAGGCGUUUCUUAUAUUGGGCUGAUGAUGACACAGAAAACUUUCCCAAUAUUCAACGGUCUACGCUGGAUGGAACUAACAGAACAGCUUUAGUGGAUGGUUUGAUAAGACCUACCGCUUUGACCCUUGACCAUGACAAAAAUAUGUAAGAACCGGCCCGCAGGGCGAGCCUCCAGAGUCCUCUCCAGCGACUCCUAAUACUA